GCAAGACUCAAUAUCUUCUCACGGAGCCAUGAAUGAGAAGGCCUCAAAAUCUUGAGGUUUCAGAAACCAGUUCUUGAAAUUUGAACUUCCUUUAAAGGUUUCUGAAGCUACAUUAUAUUCUUGCGACUUAUCCUUUAGUUCUCGAUAAGAGUUCCCAACGAAAGCAUGUUCACCUAAGCAAUUACAUGACAGUGAUAAGAAGGAUUCCGAAAGGCGCUUCUUGCAUAAAGAAGACUCGGUGGAAGGAGACAUAGCGCCCUUUGCAGAAGUGCCCUGCUUCCUGCCAGUGGUUCCAAGAAUGACUUCAUGCAAUCCAGAGUUGUUCCAGCAUAUGGAGUACCCACAUGUUAAAGUAGUCAGAGCAGUUUCAGAAUGUUGAAACUCCUCGGGUGGAAUUGACGCAACAAAGACAAGUGGCUUGUUUACUUGAAAUGGAUCCAUUAACUUGUUGGACAAUGGUAAGAUACGCUCGUAUGUAGCCCUCAUCACUUCAUCUUCAAUAAUAGAGGUUUUUGAAGCUAUAUGGGAUUGUCCAAUGGUCACAGAAGAAAUAUAAAUUGGCUCCAAGAAGUAAGAAAGUAGAGCUCCUUGUACACCAACCACGUUCCAACGGGCAAUUUUAUCAGAGCAGCUGACUGACAAAGUUGUAUCUCCACGGCCAGGUUUUCGCAUGACUGUACCAAGGGGUAUGGGGAAAGAACCAUCAUUCAUAGCAGUAUAUCCCGACGAGUCCCCUUUUGAAUAACUAAGUUGCAUAGAUGGGCACAUCAUGUCCCCAUUCUUUGCAGGACUAUCAUGCAAUAAAGCAAGCUCUGAACCUGGUGAGGCAACUCCACAGGGUAAUUGUGAAAUGUACAAAUGUAACUGCCACCCGCGCUUCAUUUUCAAUUUUUUUGUUCCUAAACCAUCACUCUCCAAAUGGAACAUGAAGUUGUCCACAUCAUCACAUAACACACUUCCAUUGCUACGUGCAUGACUAUUGUAAACAUCUUGAAUCUCUGAAUACAAGUACCUUAGUAGAGCUCUUCUUGCGAUAAUUUCAGCAUGCGAAUCAUUCACAACAUCUCCAUUCGAACUCCGUCGCGAACGGCCUAUGCAUUUUGUUCCCGUUCCCAGCGAAAUCACUUUCAGUUCUUGUGAAGGUGAAGAUACAAGAAAAGCAGCCAAAACAGUGACUUCACGGCCUUGAGGUUUUCCUUUCUUCGGUAGACGGUGGUAUACCGAGAGCACUGCUUCUGAUACUUUCUCACCCCACUGUUUCUCCGGUGCUGGAGACGGAGCUUGCGCCGUUUCUCCGGCAGUCUCCAUAGUUU
rnacentral:misc_RNA from 1 species